ACACGGCGCCUCGACCGCGACCCC
rnacentral:rRNA from 1 species